ACGAACGCUGGCGGCUGCUUAACACAUGCAAGUCGAACGGAGUGGCGAACGGGUGAGUAACGCGUGAGCAACCUGCCUAUGACAGGGGGAUAGCCUCGGGAAACCGGGAUUAAUACCGCAUAGUCAUAGAUGGGCUCGCGUCUGAUUAGCUAGAUGGUGAGAUAACAGACCACCAAGGCGACGAUCAGUAGCCGGUCUGCGCUGCGGAACUGACACAUUGGAACUGAGACACGGUCCAAACUCCUACGGGAGGCAGCAGUGGGGAAGAUUGCACAAUGGGGGAAACCCUGAUGCAGCGACGCCGCGUGAACUAAGAAGAUAUUCGUAUCGUAAAGUUCUGUCCUAUGGGAAGCAGUACCAUAGAAGAAAGCUCCGGCUAAAUACGUGCCAGCAGGCGCGUUAAUAC
rnacentral:rRNA from 1 species